rnacentral:rRNA from 1 species
GACGAACGCUGGCGGCGUGCCUAAUACAUGCAAGUAGAACGCUGAAGGAGGAGCUUGCUUCUCUGGAUGAGUUGCGAACGGGUGAGUAACGCGUAGGUAACCUGCCUGGUAGCGGGGGAUAACUAUUGGAAACGAUAGCUAAUACCGCAUAAUAGCAGUUGUUGCAUGACAACUGUUUGAAAGGUGCAAUUGCACCACUACCAGAUGGACCUGCGUUGUAUUAGCUAGUUGGUGGGGUAACGGCUCACCAAGGCGACGAUACAUAGCCGACCUGAGAGGGGGAUCGGCCACCCUGGGACUGAGAAACGGCCCAGAACCCUACGGGAGGCAGCAGGAGGGAAUCUUCGGCAAUGGACGGAAGUCUGAACGAGCCACGCCGCGUGAGUGGAGAAGGGUCUCGGAUCGUAAAGCUCUGUUGUAAGAGAAGAAAGAGUGUGAGAGUGGAAAGUUCACACUGUGACGGUAUCUUAUCAGAAAGGGACGGCUAACUACGUG